rnacentral:rRNA from 1 species
CAUGCAAGUCGAACGAGAGAGAAGGAGCUUGCUUCUUCGAUCGAGUGGCGAACGGGUGAGUAACGCGUGAGGAACCUGGCUCAAAGAGGGGGACAACAGUUGGAAACGACUGCUAAUACCGCAUAAGCCCACGGGUCGGCAUCGACCUGAGGGAAAAGGAGCAAUCCGCUUUGAGAUGGCCUCGCGUCCGAUUAGCUAGUUGGUGAGGUAACGGCCCACCAAGGCGACGAUCGGUAGCCGGACUGAGAGGUUGAACGGCCACAUUGGGACUGAGACACGGCCCAGACUCCUACGGGAGGCAGCAGUGGGGAAUAUUGCACAAUGGGGGAAACCCUGAUGCAGCGACGCCGCGUGGAGGAAGAAGGUCUUCGGAUUGUAAACUCCUGUUGUUGAGGAAGAUAAUGACGGUACUCAACAAGGAAGUGACGGAUAACUACGUGCCAGCAGCCGCGGUAAAACGUAGGUCACAAGCGUUGUCCGGAAUUACUGGGUGUAAAGGGAGCGCAGGCGGGAAGACAAGUUGGAAGUGAAAUCUAUGGGCUCAACCCAUAAACUGCUUUCAAAACUGUUUUUCUUGAGUAGUGCAGAGGUAGGCGGAAUUCCCGGUGUAGCGGUGGAAUGCGUAGAUAUCGGGAGGAACACCAGUGGCGAAGGCGGCCUACUGGGCACCAACUGACGCUGAGGCUCGAAAGUGUGGGUAGCAAACAGGAUUAGAUACCCUGGUAGUCCACACCGUAAACGAUGAUUACUAGGUGUUGGAGGAUUGACCCCUUCAGUGCCGCAGUUAACACAAUAAGUAAUCCACCUGGGGAGUACGACCGCAAGGUUGAAACUCAAAGGAAUUGACGGGGGCCCGCACAAGCAGUGGAGUAUGUGGUUUAAUU